UCAGGGGUGGCUCAGUGGUAAAAGAAUCCACCUGCAAUGCAGGCAGGCGACAGAGAGGAGACCAGGACUAGAUCCUUGGGUGGUGACUAUCUCCUGGAGAAGGAAACAGCAACCCAAUCCCAGUAUUCUUGCCCAGAGAAUUCCAUGGACAGAGGAAACUGACGGGCUAUAUAUAGUCUAUGGGGUGGUAAAAGAGACAGCACUUAGGGACUAAAGAACAACAAUAACAAGUUUAUUGCUCAAGAAGUUCCAUUCAGCAGAAGAAAAAUAUGGAAGAAUUAAAUCUAUGAGUUUUGCCUUUCACCAUAUGACUCCUACUCUUCACCGGAAAAAAGUCAGCUGUUCCAAGAGAGUCACUUCACACCUGCACUGGGCCUCCCGGAAGGUGAAAGCGAAGUGGAGGCAGCCAAUCAGCGGCCAAAGAGGGCGAGCUCCAGCUCCGCCCCCACCACUCGAGCAGGCGCAGAACUUGGGGUGAGGAGGCUGCAAGUCCUGCCUGGCUGGAGAGCCUUCAUAUCCGCACAGCCACCCAGACCAGAGGCAUCGUCCAGCUUGUAAGGGCUCAGGUCCCUGAAGCUCAGUCUUGUGUCAGCCUCCCGAGGCUCUCCUCCUGCCCUGGUGCUCUCCGACCACCCGUCCAACCUAUUUCUGACCCACGUGACCCAAGGGCCCACAGCGAGGAAGCCCUCCUCAACCUGCUUUUUGCCUGUACCAAACCUACCAAGACUCACCUGGAGGAGCCGCAGAGCUCAGGCCUCCUAGGACUGGACCAUUUGACGAAACUGGCCACUCCCUCUUUUGUGAAGUUCUUGGCGUGGCUUCCAGGACACACUCGGGAGAAUGCUCUUCUGCCUACUCCUAUGGGAGAUGUUAUCAUCUGAACUGAACCCAGUACAUCAUACAUUCAUAAAAGCCAGAUGGGUGACAUGCCUGCAGUGAGUUUAGUGCCUGCCUAUAAAGACCAGAUGGAUGCCGCUUCACAGAAAGGUUUAUGUCGAUCAGCUGUGGCUGCCUUCCAGAGAGUGAGGAAAUGCUCUCCAUUCUCCAGAGAGUUUCUCCAUUCUUUGUCCUCUGUUGUAAUUGUCUGCAGAACCUUUCAGGACCAAGACUUAUCAUUGAUAGAAUCAUAUGCAUCCUGUGUUGAAAGACAGUUGUGCUUUUGGUACAUAAAAAAGAUAAGGCCCUUGGUAAACACCUUAGCCAGAGAAAAUAAACCAGUCCUUGCAAGAUGAUUUUAUGCUGGUCUUUUCUCUCACUUAUAAAUGGCUUUGAGUCCUAUAGAUGUAGCUGAAAAUAUGCAAAUGUACAAGAGACUUCUUGGAUGGAAAACACCCCAAAUCUAGUCUCUUCACUUGUAUUAACACACAGGAUUCCAAGACCUUGUGGUUUUGCUGAAGGUUGAAAAGGGAUUCAGUCCUUCCUGAGUGCUGAGGAAGACCAAAGAACAUGAGCUGUCAAACGGGAUAUCGUGCCAGCAGAAUUCUCAUUGAACACUUGAUGUCAUAUGUCAUCUGACACUGGCUUUUCAGUCAGGUCAUUUCAGGAUAAGGUUGCGGUGACUGGGCUCCUCUGUUUGCUUGUGACAGUAAUACACCUACUAACUUAGAAAUGGACAUGAGCCAGAGUAUGAAGGGGGUGGACCCAUUCAUGGAAGGGAGAAAAAUCUGAAUUGUGAGAGUUUUGGCUGAAUUAUUAAAAGUGCAUUCUUUUUGCAAAACCA